UACGUAGGGUGCGAGCGUUGUCCGGAUUUAUUGGGCGUAAAGAGCUCGUAGGUGGUUUGUCGCGUUGUUCGUGAAAACUCACAGCUCAACUGUGGGCGUGCGGGCGAUACGGGCAGACUUGAGUACUGCAGGGGAGACUGGAAUUUCUGGUGUAGCGGUGGAAUGCGCAGAUAUCAGGAGGAACACCGGUGGCGAAGGCGGGUCUCUGGGCCCUAUCUGACGCUGAGGUGCGAAAGCGUGGGGAGCGAACGGG
rnacentral:rRNA from 1 species